UACGUAGGUGGCAAGCGUUGUCCGGAAUUACUGGGCGUAAAGAGCGCGCAGGCGGCUGGUCAAGUCCGAUGUGAAAGCUUCCGGCUUAACUGGGAAAUUGCAUCGGAAACUGAUCGGCUUGAAGGUGGGAGAGGGUAGUGGAAUUCCCGGCGUAGUGGUGAAAUGCGUAGAUAUCGGGAGGAACACCAGUGGCGAAGGCGACUACCUGGCCCACUCUUGACGCUGAGGCGCGAAAGCUAGGGGAGCGAACGGG
rnacentral:rRNA from 1 species